AAAAUCUACUUUUGUCAAAGGGUACGUAAGCGUAUUCGUUUGCUUUAGUACGAAAGCUGUUCACUUAGAAGUAUGCUCUGAUCUGUCUUCAGCGGCACUUCAAGCUGCAUUUUCUCGUUUCGUUGGGAGGCGAGGAUUACCCCAAAGGGCAGUAGAAACUUUCUAGGGGCUAGUAGAGAACUUUUACGAGAAUUUUCCUCUUUUAUAAAAAAUGCAUCUCAAGAUUUAGCUCAAAAGUACUUGACACACGGCUUUGAGUGGAAAUUUAUUCCCCCACACGCUCCUCAUAUGGGCGGCUUAUGGGAAGCCGCCGUAAAAAGUUUCGAAUUUCAUUUAAAACGAAUUACUGGUGCUCAAAAAUUCACAUUUGAAGAAUUCUCAACAAUUAUAACUCGAAUUGAAGGCGUACUAAACUCUCGCCCAAUCUCAGCUUUAUCUGAAGACCCUUCAGAUCUGACUGCUCUAACCCCAGGACAUUUCCUAAGAGGAGCCCCGAUAAUGGCUCUCCCAGAACAAGAUUAUCAAAAUAUAUCUCUUAUUAAUAGGUGGGAAAAAUUAAAAGCUAUGCAUCAUCAAUUCUCAAUACGCUGGAAAAAUGAUUAUCUUAAAACUACACAAACGCUAUAAGUGGAAAAACUCUACUACAAAUCUUAAAAUUGGAGAUCUCGUCGUUGUAAUGGACGAUCUUCAGCCGCCUUACGAGUGGCGUCUAGGAAGAAUCGAAUAAACUUACUUUGGUUCAGAUAAUAAUAACCAACCGAAGACUUACCGCUACACGGUCAAGCGAAGACAGCAGCACUACCACUCGGCCAAGAGAAGCCCCCAAUAAUGACGACUACCACAGCACCACCACUUGGUCAGGAGAACGUCGCAGCCAAAGCAGCAGUCAUCACCACAGAGGCGUAACCUCACGGAAAAGUGAAGGCCACAAUAGGCAGCGAAGCCGUCACCACACUACCCAGCACAACACCCGAAGGGAUUCGGCAUUGUACCAGUGCAAACUUUGUAUGAGGUUCCAUGCCAUACGGUUUUGCCCAAAAUUCCUGAACAUGACAGUCAUCCGGAGGAUUGAGGUGGUAACUAGACACAAAUACUGUGUCAACUGUUUGGCCAAAAGACAUAUUGUUCGGGACUGUACCUCAAUGGCAAGCUGCAGCAGAUGCCACCGGUUUCAUCAUACGAUGUUACACCCACCAAAGCUUCGUAUUACCGUCGGCAACCAAACGAGCCAGCAACGUCAUCAACGGCCUAAGCCGCACAGACGCACCCUACUAUCAACGAUUCAAAGACCUCAACAGAAUCAACCACCAAACACAUCAACCGCUCAAACACCAGACCCACAAACAACUCAACCAACAACUUCCGCCAACAUAAAUCAAAAUAUAAUCAUCGAAGCCAUUAAAUCCUUAGCAGAAGUACUCUGCUCCACCAACAAGGGGCCAUCUGUUGCCUAAGGGCAAGGCCGGCGGCAUGUCCAAUCUUGGACACAAUAUUUUUUUUUAUAUUAUUAUUUUUUUUAUUGAAUUAUUUUAUUGAAUUAUUUUGUGAAUUAUAAGAUUUGAAUUGUUUACUUUUUUAUUUAUAUUCUUACUGUUGCCAGUUAAAUUGAAUUGCAUUGAAUUGUCAUAAACUGCAUUACCGUAAUAUUAUAAAUAUAUCAUUGUUAAGUAAACCCUUUUUAGUACGAAAAAUGAAUUGUCAAAUUGUUGUAAUUAUUAGCUGAAUUGCCAUUUUGUAUAAAUCUUAAGCUUCCUUUAUUUUAAUCGCGAAAAUAAAACUUCACUUGUAAUUCAUCAGUCGCAGUGAAAACAUUAAAAUAACUCUCCCGCUCUUUAACUUCACUUUAAUUUAAUCUCUCAGUGCUGUGAACAAAAUAAAAAAUAAAAUAUAAAAAAAAACCUCCAA